rnacentral:rRNA from 1 species
GUCGAGAAUCUUUCACAAUGGGGGCAACCCUGAUGGAGCGACGCCGCGUGGAGGAUAAGGUCUUCGGAUUGUAAACUCCUGUCAUGCGUGAACAAGGUUGCUUGGUUAAUACCUGGGCAAAUUGAUGGUAACGCAAGAGGAAGAGACGGCUAACUCUGUGCCAGCAGCCGCGGUAAUACAGAGGUCUCAAGCGUUGUUCGGAAUCACUGGGCGUAAAGGGCGCGUAGGCGGGAAGGUGUGUCGACCUGUAAAUCUAUCGUUUCAAGCGGUAGGCUUGGGUUGAAACUGCCUUUCUAGAGGAUUUCAGGGGAGUUUGGAAUUUACGGUGUAGCAGUGAAAUGCGUGGAUAUCGUAAGGAAGGCUUGUGGCGAAGGCGAAACUCUGGGGAAUACCUGACGCUGAGGCGCGAAGGCUAGGUUAGCAAACGGGAUUAGAAACCCGGGUAGUCC